UUCAAAAACUGAAGUCCUAUUUUUUUGCUGUUCCGUUGCGAUAAAAUUAUCAGCUGACUGCUAUCUCUAUGCUAUCUUAUUAGAGAAUCUUCCAGUUUCCUCGGUUACAGAGUGUAAUGGAAAAUCCUUCUUUUCCGAUGAGACAGUGACAUCCUGAAUUUUUCUAUUUCCGAUAAAAUGAAGAGACGCUCUACAAACCAGGUGGACGUGCAUUAUAAUUUGAUAAAUUUGUGGAAACAACAUCUAGCUGAAUAAGGCAUCAAAACUGUCAGGAACUGUGUCAGAUAGUAAUCAGAAACACCAUGCCCCAUGUACAUCCACUAAUAAAAUUUAUUGCCAAUAAUUGUCCUAGUUCAUCUUUCCCUGUCAACUUUACAAUAAAUUUCGUUGUACCAUUUUUCUAUUGUA